rnacentral:rRNA from 1 species
UGGGGAAUUUUGGACAAUGGGCGAAAGCCUGAUCCAGCCAUGCCGCGUGCAGGAGGAAGGCCUUCGGGUUGUAAACUGCUUUUGUACGGAACGAAAAGCCUCUUUCUAAUAAAGAGGGGUCAUGACGGUACCGUAAGAAUAAGCACCGGCUAACUACGUGCCAGCAGCCGCGGUAAUACGUAGGGUGCAAGCGUUAAUCGGAAUUACUGGGCGUAAAGCGUGCGCAGGCGGUUUUGUAAGACAGAGGUGAAAUCCCCGGGCUCAACCUGGGAACUGCCUUUGUGACUGCAAGGCUGGAGUGCGGCAGAGGGGGAUGGAAUUCCGCGUGUAGCAGUGAAAUGCGUAGAUAUGCGGAGGAACACCGAUGGCGAAGGCAAUCCCCUGGGCUCACUGACGCUCAUGCACGAAAGCGUGGGGAGCAAACAGGAUUAGAUACCCUGGUAGUCCACGCCCUAAACGAUGUCAACUGGUUGUUGGGGUCUUCACUGACUCAGUAACGAAGCUAACGCGUGAAGUUGACCGCCUGGGGAGUACGGCCGCAAGGUUGAAACUCAAAUGAAUUGACGGGGUCAUAGCUGUUUCCU